rnacentral:rRNA from 1 species
AACGUAGGAGACAACCGUUAUCCGGAGUUACUGGGCGUAAAGGGCGUGUAGGCGGUUAGUUAAGUCUGGCGUGAAAGCUCUCGGCUAAACCGGGAGAGGUCGUUGGAUACUGGCAAACUUGAGGACGGUAGAGGCGUGUGGAAUUCCGGGUGUAGUGGUGAAAUGCGUAGAGAUCCGGAGGAACACCAGUGGCGAAGGCGACACGCUGGGCCGUACCUGACACUGAUGCGCGACAGCAUGGGGAGCAAACAGG